GCCCUACUCCCUGUCACCUCCACUGGAAGGAGUGGAACCCAGACUUGCUGGUCUGAGCCAUGCACAAGGCGGGGCUGCUAGGCCACUGUGCCCGGGCAUGGAAGUCGGUGCGGAUGGCCAGCUCCGGGAUGACCCGCCGGGACCCGCUCACAAAUAAGGUAGCCCUGGUAACGGCCUCCACCGACCGCUUAUGGAGUCAAGUCCCUGGGAACUUCAGGAAGCAGCCCACCAUGUUUCAACCACUUACUAUGUGCAAUUUCCUGUGUUCAGAGCCUUACACAGGUUAUCUCUAGACCUGACAGCAACCCAAGCAAGGCAAGGACUGUUCUCUCAGUCUGCAGACACUGGCUCAAGUAACUGGAGCAACUGCCCAAGGUCCCACAGCCAGUAAGAAAGACCCAGACCCCCAAGCUCCCUUCCUUUAUUGGCUGCCUAUGGACUACCAGAAUCUGGACAUUAAUAUGAAGGCCCCAGCCCUGAUGACAAAGGCAGUGGUGCCAGAAAUGGAGAAACGAGGGUACAGAGAGUGAGAGAGCCUGGGGCUUCAGUCCUUACAAUCUCAGUAAAACAGCCUUGCUGGUCCUGACCAAGACCCUGGCCAUAGAGUUGGCCCCAAGGAACAUUAGGGUGAACUGCCUGGCACCUGGACUUAUCAAGACUCGCUUCAGCAGGCAGCUCUGGAUGGACAAGGAAAAAGAGGAAAGCAUGAAAGAAGCCCUGCGGAUAAGAAGGUGAGGCGAGCCAGAGGAUUGUGCUGGCAUCGUGUCUUUCCUGUGCUCUGAAGAUGCCAGCUACAUCACUGGGGAAACAGUGGUGGUGGGUGGAGGAACCCCAUCCCGCCUCUGAGGACCGGGAGACAGCCCACAGGGCAGAGCUGGGCUCUAGCUCCUGGUUCUGUUCCUGCAUUCAUCCACUGGCCUUUCCCACCUCUGCCCACCUUACUGUUCACCUCAUAAAAUCAGUUCUGCCCUGUGAAAAGAUCCAGCCUUCCCUGCCGUCAAGGUGGCGUCUUACUCGGGAUUCCUGCUGUUGUUGUGGCCUUGGGUAAAUGCCUCCCCUGAGAACACAGGACAGGCCUGCUGAAAAGGCUGAGUCUACCUUGGCAAAGACCAACAGAUAUUUUUUGCCCUGGCCACUGGGGCAUUUGAGGGGAGAUGAGAGAGAAGGAAGCUGGAGUGGAAGGAGCAGAGUUGCAAAUUAACAACUUGCAAAUGAGGUGCAAAUAAAAUGCAGAUGAUUGCGCGGCUUUGAA